rnacentral:rRNA from 1 species
CGUGCUUAACACAUGCAAGUCGAACGAUGAAGCCCAGCUUGCUGGGUGGAUUAGUGGCGAACGGGUGAGUAACACGUGAGUAACCUGCCCUUGACUCUGGGAUAAGCGUUGGAAACGACGUCUAAUACCGGAUACGAGCUUCCACCGCAUGGUGAGUUGCUGGAAAGAAUUUUGGUCAAGGAUGGACUCGCGGCCUAUCAGCUAGUUGGUGAGGUAAUGGCUCACCAAGGCGACGACGGGUAGCCGGCCUGAGAGGGUGACCGGCCACACUGGGACUGAGACACGGCCCAGACUCCUACGGGAGGCAGCAGUGGGGAAUAUUGCACAAUGGGCGAAAGCCUGAUGCAGCAACGCCGCGUGAGGGACGACGGCCUUCGGGUUGUAAACCUCUUUUAGCAGGGAAGAAGCGAAAGUGACGGUACCUGCAGAAAAAGCACCGGCUAACUACGUGCCAGCAGCCGCGGUAAUACGUAGGGUGCAAGCGUUGUCCGGAAUUAUUGGGCGUAAAGAGCUCGUAGGCGGUUUGUCGCGUCUGCUGUGAAAUCCCGAGGCUCAACCUCGGGUCUGCAGUGGGUACGGGCAGACUAGAGUGCGGUAGGGGAGAUUGGAAUUCCUGGUGUAGCGGUGGAAUGCGCAGAUAUCAGGAGGAACACCGAUGGCGAAGGCAGAUCUCUGGGCCGUUACUGACGCUGAGGAGCGAAAGGGUGGGGAGCAAACAGGCUUAGAUACCCUGGUAGUCCACCCCGUAAACGUUGGGCGCUAGAUGUG